GCCAGCAUGGCAUAGUGGUUUGAGCACUGAACUACAACUCCGGUGACCAGGAUUUGAUUCCCAGCUUGGUCA